rnacentral:misc_RNA from 1 species
AGUUUAAAUGCAUCAAGUACUAGAAUGUAUUUUAAUGGCCAGUUUUUAAUUUCAAUAAGUUUGUUUCUUCAACAAUUUCAAAAAUUUAAUGAAGUUGCACUAGAUUAUUUCAUCUACCUCACUAAAAAAAAAAAAGAGAAAGGCAGAAAUGAAUUCUAAAUUUGAUGCUUAAGCAGAUGAAUAGCUUUAAUUAAGGACAGACACUAUCUUAUAUUAUUGUUUCUCUCUGUGAUGCAUGGACUGUCUGUCUGUCAGUUGGUGUGUCUAUCACUGACUUUUUAAUUGAUUGUUUAACUAUUGACAUUUUCCUGAAUUCUUUUGUGAAAGGUUCUGUAUUUUACUAUUUCCCUGAUCCUAAAUUUUACCUCAAAGGUCAACAUUUAUAAUAGGUCAUUUAAAAAUUGAGCUCUUUUACUGAUUAUUUUUAACAUCACUUCAAACUGUCAUUGUGUAAAUAAUCAAAGAUGAUCUUCUAAAGUGGUAACAUGUUCUUCUCUGUAAGUCAGAUUUCUGGAAUGCUGUGGCUGUUGUAGAUUUGUACAGCAUAUUGGUGUCCUGUAAAAGUGAUGAUUAUGAACUUGUGUUGAGGGAUGAAUGUCGUGCCAUGAGUAUCAUACAUUGUACUUGUGUAUUGUUUAGAUAUGACAGCUUUAGUGUAACGUGUGUGCCUGUAUUGGAUUUGAAUAGUCCUUAUUUUUCUAUUGUUUAGUCACACUAAUACAUGUAGACUAUUUAUUACAGCAGUCACUCCAGUCUAUGUCUCGGCUUUUUUAAACAUAGUCUUCUGAAUCUUUUUUUUUUUAAUUUUCAAGACAUAUCCAACACAAACAAAUUUGCAGCCAGAUUUGGUGUUUCUGUGAAACCAGUGUUAAAUACAUGUAUAUGAUUAUUACUUACACCAUAUAAAUAUACAAUGGAAUUACUUCUAAAAACAUUAUUGUAGUAGAUAAAAACAAAUGAAUUUUUGGAUCUUGACAUUUAAGUACAUGUAGUUCUCUUAGCACUGUCUAGAAACCAAAAACUCAGGAAUUACAAGUAUCUAGAGGUAGCAAACAUGUUGUACGGACUACUUAUAUAUAUAUACACCCACACACACACACUUACACUAGUUUAUGACAAAACAGAUACAUUCAUACACUAUUGUAUUACAAUUUAGGACAAUGUUUCAUGUCCCAUAAAUUUUAGCUGGCUUAAUAUUUUAUGAGAACAUACUCUUAAAGCAACAAAUUUUUACCACUUUUAUCACCCUAUUGCAUGCUUUUGCAUUAUAUAGCAGUUUGAAGGUUGACAGUAUAUAUACAUGUAUAUGAAUGCAUUUUCAUUUUUGAUGUUGAAUAUUUAAGAUCAUGAAAGAAUUUUAAGGAAAAAAAUGAAUUUUUUUGUUUGGUUUUGAAUCUACUUUUAUGUAGAGCAGUCCUUAGGCGUUGUUGGGUGUUUGAAAUAAUUCAUUGCACAUGUGGAUUAUGUAAACUGUCACAACCGUCUGGGGAAUUAAAUCUUUGAAAUUGAU